GGCAAGGUAGCUCAAUGGUUAGAGCAACCAAGCGCAAUUCGGGAGAUGCUGGUUCGAGUCCAGCUCUCGUCA